rnacentral:rRNA from 1 species
CCUACGUGAGGCAGCAGUGGGGACUAUUGCACAAUGGGGGGAACCCUGAUGCAGCGACGCCGCGUGAGUGAAGAAGUAUUUCGGUAUGUAAAGCUCUAUCAGCAGGGAAGAAAAUGACGGUACCUGCCUAAGAAGCCCCGGCUAACUACGUGCCAGCAGCCGCGGUAAUACGUAGGGGGCAAGCGUUAUCCGGAUUUACUGGGUGUAAAGGGAGCGCAGACGGCUGUGCAAGUCUGGAGUGAAAGGCGGGGGCCCAACCCCCGGACUGCUCUGGAAACUGUAAAGCUGGAGUGCAGGAGAGGUAAGCGGAAUUCCUAGUGUAGCGGUGAAAUGCGUAGAUAUUAGGAGGAACACCAGUGGCGAAGGCGGCUUACUGGACUGCAACUGACGUUGAGGCUCGAAAGCGUGGGGAGCAAACAGGAUUAGAUACCCCUGUAGUC